UGGUAGAAACUUUGGUUUUUGUAUGUAAGCACUCUAGACAGAUAAUCUGAUUCCCAAGGUAAGUACAAACAGAAAGUUUCACAUCAAUGGUUCAGCAAAUCUCUGUACUUUACUUAAUCUUGCAGAUUUAGUUUCCCUGAAAGGAAGAUGGUCCAAAUGAUGGCCAUCCAGAAUAGUGACAUUGCUGGCUAGAUACCUGCAAGUCAUGUGCCUCCACCAUCCACACCUAUCAUUCAAAAGGCCCUUUUAAAGAAUGUGUAAGCUUACACCAGCCAAAUGGCCAUCACACCUUGUUUUGUUUCAUAGAAAUAAAUGAAAGUGUGUUUAAAGUUGGCGAGUCAGCAGUUCAAGACAAGAGUUAAAGGGGCAAGGGUACCGUCAUUGCUUUGUAUUUUGUAAUUAUAUAUAGUUGCAAAAACCAUGAGUCACAAGCAGAUUCAAGUGAAGGGGCCACAGAGAAAAAAAGACUCAUUUUAGUGUGUGAACUGAAGAUAAAGUGAAGUCCUUGGAAGCCUAAGUGCAUAAAGCAGGGAAGCCAUGGAAGGUGGUAGAUGGAAUAGUACAGCUACAGGAAGGACAGCGUCAGAGCUGGAAGUGUUACAGAAAGAGCAUGAAGAGAAAAAUAUGAAAAUUCAAGAGCUGAAGAAGCAGAUUGAAUUGACAAAGCAUCGGUUGGAAAAGAAAAAGAAAGAGUUGACAGAGGAGCAAAUGGGAGGUUUCAAUACCCUAAGCAAGAAAUACAACAGCCUGAGAGAGGAAUACAAUGCAAUGUUAGCUGAGAAAUUAAGGGAAUCAAAGUAACUUUCAAAUUAUUAGGCCUAUUAGUUUCGGAUAUAUCUAAUCAAAACUAUGAUUAUGAAUAAAUCCAAGUUUUUUAGUAUUGUUUUUCAAUGUCACUUGUAUUUUCUGUUUCAAGAAAAGAGGGACAGUUCUCCCUUUACAUAAAAACAUAAUCAGAUGAUUAGUAUGGAGUACUUAAAAUUGCAGUCAAACUUGAGCCACAC